CAGGGAAUCUUCGGCAAUGGGGGGAACCCUGACCGAGCAACGCCGCGUGAGUGAAGAAGGUUUUCGGAUCGCAAAGCUCUGUUGUUAAGGAAGAACGAGUGUGGGAAUGGAAAGUUCAUACUGUGACGGUACUUAACCAGAAAGGGACGGCUAACUACGUGCCAGCAGCCGCGGUAAUACGUAGGUCCCGAGCGUUGUCCGGAUUUAUUGGGCGUAAAGCGAGCGCAGGCGGUUAGAUAAGUCUGAAGUUAAAGGCAGUGGCUCAACCAUUGUAGGCUUUGGAGACUGUUUAACUUGAGUGCAGAAGGGGAGAGUGGAAUUCCAUGUGUAGCGGUGAAAUGCGUAGAUAUAUGGAGGAACACCGGUGGCGAAAGCGGCUCUCUGGUCUGUAACUGACGCUGAGGCUCGAAAGCGUGGGGAGCGAACAGGAUUAGAUACCCUGGUAGUCCACGCCGUAACGAUGAGUGCUAGGUGUUAGGUCCUUUCCGGGACUUAGUGCCGCAGCUAACGCAUUAAGCACUCCGCCUGGGGAGUACGACCGCAAGGUU
rnacentral:rRNA from 1 species